rnacentral:ncRNA from 12 species
GGGUGUCAGCUGCAUCGUGCAGCGGGGACAGGUCAAUGCGUCGGUCGGGCCGCCACG